rnacentral:rRNA from 1 species
UGCAAGUCGGGCGGUAGCACAGAGAGCUUGCUCCCGGGUGACGAGCGGCGGACGGGUGAGUAAUGUCUGGGAAACUGCCUGAUGGAGGGGGAUAACUACUGGAAACGGUAGCUAAUACCGCAUAACGUCGCAAGACCAAAGAGGGGGACCUUCGGGCCUCUUGCCAUCAGAUGUGCCCAGAUGGGAUUAGCUAGUAGGUGGGGUAACGGCUCACCUAGGCGACGAUCCCUAGCUGGUCUGAGAGGAUGACCAGCCACACUGGAACUGAGACACGGUCCAGACUCCUACGGGAGGCAGCAGUGGGGAAUAUUGCACAAUGGGCGCAAGCCUGAUGCAGCCAUGCCGCGUGUAUGAAGAAGGCCUUCGGGUUGUAAAGUACUUUCAGCGGGGAGGAAGGUGUUGAGGUUAAUAACCUCAGCAAUUGACGUUACCCGCAGAAGAAGCACCGGCUAACUCCGUGCCAGCAGCCGCGGUAAUACGGAGGGUGCAAGCGUUAAUCGGAAUUACUGGGCGUAAAGCGCACGCAGGCGGUCUGUCAAGUCGGAUGUGAAAUCCCCGGGCUCAACCUGGGAACUGCAUUCGAAACUGGCAGGCUAGAGUCUUGUAGAGGGGGGUAGAAUUC